CCUACGGGUGGCUGCAGUGGGGAAUAUUGGACAAUGGGCGAAAGCCUGAUCCAGCCAUGCCGCGUGUGUGAAGAAGGCCUUCGGGUUGUAAAGCACUUUCAGUGGGGAAGAAAGCCUUGGGGCUAAUACCCUCGAGGAAGGACAUCACCCACAGAAGAAGCACCGGCUAACUCCGUGCCAGCAGCCGCGGUAAUACGGAGGGUGCGAGCGUUAAUCGGAAUUACUGGGCGUAAAGCGCGCGUAGGCGGUCUGAUAAGCCGGUUGUGAAAGCCCCGGGCUCAACCUGGGAACGGCAUCCGGAACUGUCAGGCUAGAGUGCAGGAGAGGAAGGUAGAAUUCCCGGUGUAGCGGUGAAAUGCGUAGAGAUCGGGAGGAAUACCAGUGGCGAAGGCGGCCUUCUGGACUGACACUGACGCUGAGGUGCGAAAGCGUGGGUAGCAAACAGGAUUAGAUACCCCUGGUAGUC
rnacentral:rRNA from 1 species